AUACGGAGGAUGCGAGCGUUAUCCGGAUUUAUUGGGCUUAAAGGGUGCGAAGGCGGGGGAUUAAGUCCGCGGGGAAAUGCACGGGCUCAUCCGGAGCAGUGCCGUUGAUACUGGGUAUCUUGACUGCGGUCAAGGCAGGCGGAAUGUGGCGUAGAGCGGUGAAAUGCAUAGAAAAGACACAGAACGCCGAUAGCGAAGGCAGCUGGCCGGGCCUGCAUUGACGCUCAGGCACGAAAGCGUGGGGAUCGAACAGGAUUAGAUUCCCUGGUAGUCCACGCUGUAAACGAUGGACACUCGUUGUCGGCGACAUACAGUCGGCGGCCAAGCGAAAGUGAUAAGUGUCCCACCUGGGGAGUACGGUCGCAAGGCUGAAACUUAAAGGAAUUGACGGGGG
rnacentral:rRNA from 1 species